AUUCCCUCAAACAACACAAUACAAAGCCCACACUAAAAUACAAAAUCACACAUGUUUCGCCUCUUCCUCUGCUCUUAUUCUCUUCUCUCCCUCUAUUAUUCUUGUACAGAGUCAAAGCUACUAAGGGGUGGUCAAGAAUGGAAGAGGAGAAGAGACUCGUGAAGAGGCUAGCAAUAUUCAUCUCUUGUUUUGAGCGUUUGUGCUGAUUCCGGGUGGUUGUUGUGCAUUAUUGGCUGUGCUAAUUUUGUCAUGCUCAAGUCUUCUUCUGGAGUUUGAAUAGUCAAGAUCCGGCCGAUCCCAGCUUCUAGUUUUAACUGCAGUUUCUUCAAUUGUCUACAUUGUCGUUUCAUGGCCACAAUUUACCUACUGGUGAUAGAUUCUGGGAUGCUUUUUUUUUCCUACCAAGGCUUUUUUGCAAUUUUUUCUUUUGAUUUAUUAACAUAUGUAUAAAAGGGGGAAUGUUAUGUCUCAAGGGUGUGUAUUAUUGGUGAUGUAGCGAAAUGUGAUUGGUUGGAGGGUGUUCGUCCAAAAUUUUUUAAUCCCAUGGUUUUGUUUAUCAUCACGUGUUCUGCAAGUGACCCUUUUUUAAACCACAAAUUCGAUUGAUUUGAUUGGGCAAAUUAGGUUACUUGCUCCCGACUUUUUCAGUGAGAAGUUACGUUUUUCCGGCAUUUUCAGUGACAAUCACAGUGGGAAUGGGCUCAAGAUACUUGUGACAGACGUCAAAAGUUUUUCUCCUCUUUCUCCAACAAUUUCUUCCAGACUUCUACGCUUCCAUCUCCCCGAGUCCUUCUACCUCUCCUUCCCUGCCAGUCUCAUCAUCUCAGUCUCGGGUAAAUUGGAUUGCCCACUAUCAUAAAAGGAAAAAAAUGAAGAUUGCUUCUCCUUUUAAACUCUCUUCUCAGAGAUUCUCAGCAUCAUCAUCAUCACAUUUUGUUUCCAGAAGAGGAGAUAGGGAUUGGGUGUGUGUUUCUGUGUGUGAAAAUGGCGGAGAAAGAAAGACGCAAAUUCAGGGCUUUUGGAUUUGUACAUAUGCCAAUUGAAGAUUCAGAUUUUUGGGGUUUUAACUGUAUUCAGAUGGGGGAUCAGCUGUGCGUUUCAGCCUCUCAAAAGUACAGCAAAAGGAAGGCGUAAAUUAAUGGGCUUUGACUUGUUAAAAUGUCCAAAAUUUGGAAAUUUUCUUCUGUCCUUUCCAAGAACUACUCCAGAGUAUAGCAGCACGACUCAAUAUCGUAUCCAGCUUACUUUGUGUAAAUUAGUGAGUAGUUUGAUUGUACCUUCUUCUGUUCAUGUGUAUUUUAUUGCAGUUUGUACUCUAAAUGUUAUACCCCUUUUCCUUUGCUCUUUGCAGAAGAGGUUACAUAGGACUUUAUCACUUGUUGCUUUUCCAUUAUUACAGGAUCCAAGUAACUAACUCUACAUCAAUUCUUUGGAAGUUGAUGCUAAGAUUGAUGUCGUUCUUGACCUUUUGAGGACAGAAAAGGAUGAAAGAUGUUUAAUCAUGUCUUUCUAUAUAAGAAAGGCAUGUGUAGACUUCGUGGCAAAAGUAGUUGGAGUAACUUCGGGACCAAAAGGAAGAAUUUUGGUGUUGCACAUUAAAUUGCAUCCCAAGAUUGUUAAAGAUACUGAAAGUGUUUUAAACAGGAUGAAACAUAUUCAGCUCUCAUAUGGGAUUUGAUAAAACUACCAAAAUGCUUGUUUCAGAACUCAAAUUGGCAUCAGGGAGGAAAUGAUUAUGCAGUAGGAAACAGGACUUCGACUCUUUUCAAAAGUAGGAAGAGAAUUAAUAAGAAGUGAGACAUGGAGCUAUGGUAAAAAUAGCCUGCACAUUGUAGAGGGGAUGGAAUUUGAUCGCGGAUAUUUUUCUCCUUGACAUGAUUGGAGUUUUGGAUCUCAUAUUUCUAUCUGUUGGUGUAUGGUAUUUAAGAGGGAAACUUCUGUAUUCGCAAUUGCUUUUGGUUGCCUAAAACAUCGCAUGGAUCAAG